GGGCGGGAGGCUGCGGACGAGUGCGGGGAGGAGUUUGCGAGGGGAGGCGCCUGCAGGGGCUCCCCCAGUUCUGCGCUGGGAGCCCGGGCACAAAGAGCCCUCUGCACUCGCGCCGCAGGACUGCCGCCCCGAGGAGUUCCAGACGUGUCACAACGCCACCACGGCCCUCACAGCAUCAAAGGAGUAACCAAGAUGACCUUUCCUCUCCGGUGCACCCGCGGGACCGUAGGGACCAGCGACAGGCUCUGCACCCCGUCCACCAUGAGAUCCGUGUGCGCUGAGACCUGACUCUCAGAGAGCGCAGCCAGGUCCUGGGGCCGAAGUGAGAGGAGGGGAUGUCUGAGAGCUUCUGACGGUCAAGACCACGCGGGAAGCAGCCUUGCAGAUAAGUAUUCAAGCUGACCAGCCCGCAGCCGACCGGCCUGCCCUGUGCUGGUCUGCGCAGGGAAGUGAGGUAUCCCGGGACCCCCAGUGGGAGGGGAGAUUGGUGAUGCAGCUCAUUCACUUUCCUCCCUCUAGGCCACAAAGAAGGGGCUGGUCCCCACUUUCUGGGGCCCCACAAUGGGUCAUUUUCGCACCCCGCUUGUGGCCUCGAGGCGAGUAUUUUAUAAAUGCCACCAUCAGGAAGUUGUGAGGAGCUGAGCUAGUUACUUUAUCACCGCACACACGGAGCUGGCAUCAGGAGGAGGUGGGGGGACUCCCGGUGGCUGGCCUGCCUGCUCUUCUCGGUCCUGGCCCUUUGUCAUCAUGUUGGUAAGACUCGGCCAGGGCUCCUCUGCUUGGCAGUCACGUGGGGACCCAGCACCGCGCCUGGAGGGCACAUUCUUCUCAGGGCAGGGGGCUCAGUACCCCUGCCCCACACCCCGGACCCGUGCCCAAUCCCGGUGCUGACAGCAAGCUCUGGAAAUAGGCUGGUUAGCGGCGAGUCCUGCCCAGGCCCGGGCCCGGGGAGGGGCCUGGUUGCGGUUUCCUCCUGCAGUGUGGUUGGCUCUUCUGUCUUCCAGGAUGGGCCUGUGGGGGUCCACGUGGGAGCCGGGAGCUGGGCCCGGGAUGCCAGCGCGUUGGCUGGGCGCUGCCGGCCUGCGGAUCCGGAGGUGAACACAGGCCCGUGCGUGGUUCUGUCCUCUCAGAUCAUCCCGUGACCAUGUGCCUGAUCCCAGUCUCAGCAAGGGAGUGAGCUCCCCGUCCUGGGAGGUGGCUCCGCAGGCUCAGGACUCCGGCCUGGUCUUGUCUUUGGAGCCUGGGGGCCCUGGCCGCAGGGACGCAGGGAGCAGCCUUCAGCGGUUUCCCGGAAGCCUGGACAAUUCUCCCAAGACCUUCGUCUUCCCACCCCCUGGGAUGCAGACUCUUGUGGAUGGAUAACGGGACCCCUGGGCGAGGGUCAGCGAAAUCAGGACCUGGCUAGGGAGGCCGGCGCGAGGGUGGGAGGGCAGCCCAGCGGCCCGCCCUCCCCUUCUGGGCCUUCCUGUCUGGGCCUGGUGGUCACUUCCUGACCUUGGGCAGACGUGGCUCCCCCUUGAAUCUCUGCUGGUGCUCAGGGGGAGCCUGGCCGGGGCAGAGGCCCUGGCUGCACCCUCCCCAAGACCAGGUCCCAAGGACCCUACCAAAUGGGGGGCAUGGGAUGGGAUGGGAACAUGGAAUGGGAGUGGGGAGGAGCUGCCAGUGGGAGGGAGGGCGGAUGCGGCUCAGUGGGCGCUGUCGCUGGCAUCUGUCUCGCGCCAUUUGCCUUGUGAGUGAUUCUCAUUUCGGGGCCGCCUUUUGGAUGGGGAUUUUCCGGGCACCUCCUCUUUCUGGUGGUCACUGGGAGGAGGCAGUCAGGGUCUGGGCGGAGCCUGGGCCUUCUCCCCAUGUUACGGGCUCCUGGAGGGGCAGCUGGCAGUGGUGGUGGUGGUGGGAGGGGGGCGGGGGGAUAGCAAUUGGUGUGCUAUCCUGAAAGGAGAGGGUUUGUUUCCCAGAGGGGAGGGGACCCAGGCCAGGGGACUCGCCGGAAGGAGACGGACACUGGGCCUCGUUCCCACCACCCGAAGGGGCCGGGCCGGGUCUCAGACCCCUGUUCCUUGCAAUAGUCCUCGAUUCUGCCCCGGGGGGCAAAGGCAGGCAAGGCAGGCCCCACACAGGCACGCACCGUCUCACCUCCACCCCCACCUCCCCACUCCCGUCCAUUCCAGCAGCGUCCAGAGGGGCUGGUCCCAGGGGGCGCACAAGAGCUGCCAGGGAACUCCCUGAGGCAAGUGGAGAGCUAGGCCUUGUUUUCCCAGGGUGGGAGGGGGCCUGUGCCAGUCAACACGAGCUGCCAGGACAGAUGGGAAGCACACAUGGAUUUCCUCACAGUUCUGAAGCUGGAAGUCCAUCCCGGUGCCAGGGCUGCUUUCUCCUGCGGCCUCUCUCCUCAGCUUGCAGACGGCCACCUUCCUGGUGUCCUCACGUGGCCUUUUCUCUGGGCACACACCUGGGGGGAUACAUUUGGUGUCUCUUCUUCUUUUCAUAAGGACACCAGUCCUAUCAGGUUAGGGCCCCACCCUUAUGACCUCAUUUAACCUGAACUACCUCUUUAAGGUACCCCCACCUCCAAAUAUAGUCACAUUGGGGGGUUAUGGCUUAAACUAAUGGUUUUGGGGAGGGACACAGUUUAGUCUGUAAUAGGGGUUUCACCACAAACAUGAAAAGCAGGAGCCAUCUCCCCAUCACCAUCCCCUCCCUGGCUAGGGUGGCCCCGGGUGCCUUGGGGACCCCCAGGGCGGUGAGGAGGAGCCCCCGGGAGAGGGAUGUCCUGGGAAGAGCCGGGGCUUUGCACCGAGGGUGCGUGCUCUGCUGUACAACCUCCCCUCAGUGAGUCUGAUUUCCAAGCUGCAACAGGGGCCAUCUGCUCCCCUGGGGGCCGCAGCGGGGAUUCCGCAGAAGCAGUGCCUGCCUCCGAAUCGCGGCUCCCUAAACACGCCCGCCCACCUGGAGUUGAGAUCUAGGACUUGCCUGUGUUCGGCAUCCGGUGUAAUCUCAGCAUCUGCAGAGGAUCUCCGACUAGCCCUUCCCCUGCCUGUUCUCUCAAGAUCCCUCUCGAAGCAGUUUCACGGCCUCCGUGGUAGCCCCAAAGCAUCCUGGGGUGUUUCAGUUCUAGUGGCAUCAGUCUUGAGCAUCUACCAUGAGCCCUUUCCCGUGUUAGCCACGUGGGGGCGAGUUCCAGCCUUCAGGAUGUCACUGCUGUGCUGAGGGGGAGAAGACCCGCUCCCCGCAGAGAACUGGAGAACGGGGCAGAAGUCAGUCC